AAGUAAGAAGCGAUAACUUUGCAUUCAGUUUCGACCUGACCCUAGACAAUAUAAUGUCCUUACUUU
rnacentral:tRNA from 1 species